GCGCCCGUAGCUCAGCUGGAUAGAGCAGUGGAUUUCUAAUCCACCGGUCGCAGGUUCGAGUCCUGCCGGGCGUGCCA
rnacentral:tRNA from 1 species